rnacentral:tRNA from 1 species
GGGGUAUUGAGCCGGGCAUCCUGCGAUUAGUGAUUUUACUGGAACUCCAGUAAUCCUUUGGUUUCAACGGAUUUUAUUGACACUUUAAUCUCAUCCGUUAAUAUAGUGAGCUUGCCUUGCAAGCAGGAGGUCGUCAGUUCGAUUCUGAUAUCCUCCACCA